CAGGUGGUGGGGUCGGCGGCGGGGCGUCUUCUUCCCGGGCGAAGCGGUCCCCGUCGCCGUCGCGGUCGCACCGGGGCUUCGGCUUCAGACUCCGCGCGCCAAGCGGACGCGUGUUGGGACGCGGCGGCGCAGCACCGUACCCGCGGCGCGCGCGUCACUGCGCGGACGGGGGACGCUCUGCUGACGUCAUGGAGUAGCGCGAGGGAGCGGCCGCGUCUGGGCCGUGGAGGCCGGGACCCGCGUUUACUCCGGGGGCUUCGGCGCUGGCGCCCGUUUCGCAGGUCGCGGCCGCGUGUCCUCCGGAGCCUGCCGCGAUGUGCGGCUGUGGGAGCGCGUCGGCGCGGUUUCUCCGCAGCUCGUAGCGUCCAGGCCUCGGCGUGCUUUCCGGGGCCGGCGCUGCCUGCGGGGGCGGCGGGCGCGGGCCGCGCGGGUGCGUGAAGCUGCGUUUCCCGGGGGUCGAGGGCCCCGCUCUGAGCUGGGCUGCGGCUCGGUCCGGGUCUCGGGGCGCCCUGUGGGCCGAGUCCCACCUCGCGGAACUGGGUGUUUGUCACCGAAACGGCGUUUCCUGCCUCGCCUCGGCCGCCCGGCGCAGGCGGACACGUUCCGCAGGUCCGUGUGCUCCGAGCGGGGACGGCCCCGCGGAUAGACGUGGGACGGGGACGGUCCGCGGGGCCGGCGAUCAGCCCCCCACUCAGCGGCGAAUGCUCUUCAGCGAAGUGGCCAAGACCGGCCGCUGGGCUCGACGGCACGGACGGCGGCUCCGGACCCGUCCCCGAUGUCCCGGUGAGAGACGGCGCGGGGAAGCCGCCGCAUCGGUCAGGGUGACGCCUCGGAGACAACAAACGGGAAGACGCGCGGACGGGACUUCAUCAAAGGACACGGCGGGGAGAGAGAAAAGGCGGCAGAGUGGAGGAACCCUGUAGACGUCGGGUCCGGCCGGAGAUGAGCCUCUGCGUGUGCAGAACGAACGACGCUCAGCGACGUAAAAUCCCGCUGAACGGGAGCGAAGAGCGCGGAAGGACUUCCCCGAGUAGGACGCGCAGACGCCGGUAGCGCGCGAAGUCCGCUGAGCUCGUCGUCCUGGGGCCGAAAUGCAAACGCAGCCGCAGCGGAGGUCGCGCUUCGCACGCGGCGGACACGGAGAAAUCAAGUGUAUUUGUCUCUGUCCCUGUGCCCAGGAACCGUCUCCGAUUGCUGGAGUGUCGUUCGCCCCCGGGGCCGCGGCCGGGGCGGCCUGUAACGCAGGGCGAGAGGCAGUGGCUGCAAACCCUGCUGGGAACUUGUCGCUGCGUUCCUGACCUCUUCGGUGAGAGGGGCCCCAGGAUUCAGCUUCAUCACCAACGGCCUUUAGUCAGUCCUGCGGAAGUACUGAAACCUCCGUGAGGCUCCGGGAGCGGGAUUCCCUGGAUGCCUGGGGGCGCAGUCCCUUAAGCGGGCACAUGUCCUCCACAUCAGACCGACUAAAGGAAGACUGCAACUGAUAUUCAAGUUACCUUAAACUGCACGUUUAUGUUUCCUUGAUGAGAAUCCCUGGGACAUUUCUUCCUAUACCUACCUCAUCAAAACACAGUGUGUAACUUGGAUGUGAUUCUGGUGUUUAAGUGUCGCUCUGCAGCCGUUAUCUCAAGGCUAAGUCUAACUAAAAAUACCAGGUCAAAAACAGCCUUUAUGGACAGCUCAGUUCCUUUGGGAGCCAACAUUAAUCAAAAGGGGGGAACUGAAAGUUUCUGUUGAAAAUGACGCAGUCCUGGUUAACUAAGAUAGAGGCAUCAACAGCAGAACAAAGGUAGAUGUGAAACAGUAUCACUAGGGUUUUCGUGCCUUUCCAGAACAAUGGUCUCAAGGUGUGGUUCCCGGAGGAAGAUCAGCCGAGAAGCUGUUAGAUCCGCAAACUCUCUAGCCUUGCCGCAACCCUGUGGAAUGAGCCGUUCAGCACAGCACUCAGUGUUUUUACUACUGCCUGCUAGCAUUGGAGAACCAUGGUUGAAGGGAAUCUGCAAGUAACGGAAAUUGUUUUCCCCCAGGACCCAGCAGCACACUCCAGGGCAGACUCUGGGAUGGGCCCUCACCGCUAACUUCAGUCAGGCAGAUGACUCAAGUGAAAGAAAACAGAGCCCACUAUUCCUAGACUUUUCCCUCCCAUCUGAUCACCUCCUUUAAUAUUUUAGUUUUACCUUUGAUUAUAAAUGUCGGGGUCCGUGAUCAAAGGAGCGAAACUGAUACAAAGCAAAGGUCAAGCAAAGCUUUAUUUCGUGCCAGCACCAAGAAUCAAACCGAUGGGUCGAGGCCGUCCCUUAUGGAGAGAGCGACCCCUCCCAGCCUCACAGACUAACUUUCAUAGCGCAAAGGCCAUAUGGUUGAGCCUGGCCACACACAGGU